rnacentral:lncRNA from 1 species
CCCUGACCUAAUGGAGGAGGAAACAUUACAGUUCUGGGAGCAGCAGGACAUCUGGGGAUGAGAAGAUGGAGAGAUCAUCCUUAUAUAAUGUUGCAGUCUGGAAGCAUCACUCUCAAAAAGCCAUUGUAGAGAAUCCAAGCCGAGUUUAAGAGUGCUGUGGAAAUACACUGCUGCUACUGCUGUUUCUAUUACUGUUUGAUGCUGGGACUCUUAUGCUCCAACCACGUUUUCACCCAGCUGAGUCGCCUUCGUAUCACGCCUUUCCAGUGAGUAAGAUCAUCUAGAUAGAUUCUCCAAAAGAAAUAACCCAGUAAGGGAGGGGCAACCAGCAUGACCACAAUGCUAGUUGUUGUGUGCGAAUGGUAAACAGAAUGAAAUUAUGAAUGUGUGUGCGGGUCAUUAUAUGCAUGCAGACACAUACAUAUGCAUAUGUAGUAUAAAUCUCCAUAAAUGCCUAAGGUGAUGGCAGUGAUGAGGGGCAGUUAAAAAUGUUAAGCACAAAUUGGAGCUGAGACACUGAUCAGAGAAAAAUUAUCUGUAAUACUGAGAAAGAGCCAUCUGUCAUGGCUGGAGGCUCAAGCAGAGAAGGGAUAAGUGGAGAGGCCCCAGGAACAGAUGGAGAGGCUUGAACCCCCACACAGAGCAGAGCGUCCAACAGCUGGGACUGAUUAAUCCAGACGGCCGACUAUUACGUCAUGUGUUGGAUUACAACCAAAUGAGUGGCUAAAAGCUCCUAGCAAGUUCAGGCCAACACGAAGUCGCUUCACAGAUGGCAUCCACCUUGGAAUUCCGUGAGGGAUGAAGACACUGCUCAGUCCUGCCUCAUUGUCCUCUGUGGAAAGAGCAAGAGGAAUGAGGAUAGGCCUUUCCCACCCCUUUAUUCUUCUUUAUUCUCAGGGUAAAUGGAAGUAGAGAAGGAGAGUAAGUGAGAUUUUAAAGAAGCUUUUUGACCUGUGUCUUUGUUCUCUCCUUGCUCUCUAAAUUACAUGAUAGAGGGAAUAAUAAGGAACUUUAAUGUAUGAAGUUCAGUCCAGUAAAUUGAUCCCAUAGCCCAGCAUGUGAUAAACAGUUUCUGAAUAUUAACUUGAUCUACUCGUGCUUCUUAGUAAUCCCACAAACACUUUAAACAACAUUUCAGAAGCACAGGUAAUCCCACAAGCAUUUCAGCAACAUUUCAACUCAACACCUGUCCCCUCUCCAAUGUUCCCUUCAAGUCAGAAACCUAACUUUGGGUACCCAACUCUACCGUCAAUCAGUCACUGGGGCCUUAUGGAAUCAAUGGAGUCUUGUAGAUUCCAUCUCCUUAGCAUUGCUUGAAACGAUCUUGACUUCUCUAUUCUCAUUGCUAUUGCCUUAAUUCUGACCUUCAGUAAGUCCUGCCUGGACCGUUACAAUAGUUUCUUCUAAGCUAUCUUCUGGUUUCUUUGCUCCAGUGCAUUCUUUUCUUUUUUUUUUUUCUGCUGACACCCAGCACUUUAUUAGUGGGGAAACUCGCCUUGGUCUGGCAGAGACUGGGAUGGACAGGACCGGCGCCCAUCUCGAGGGGGUAUUUUCUGGAAGAUCAGGUGUUCCUCCCUUGUAGGUUUAGAGGAAACACCCUCAUAGAUGAAAACCCCCCAGAGAGCAGCACUGCAACUGCCAAGCAGCCGGGGUAGGAGGGGCGCCCUAGGCACAGCUGGGCCCUUGAGACAGCAGGGCUUCGAUGUCAGGCUCGAUGUCAAUGGUCUGGAAGCGGCGGCUGUACCUGCGUAGGGGCACACCGUCAGGGCCCACCAGGAACUUCUCAAAGUUCUAGGCAACAUCGUUGCGACACACCGGAGACCAGGUGAUGAGCUUGGGGUCGGUCAUAAGCGCAGUGGCGUCGUCGCUGGGGGCUGGCAGGGCCUCCCGCAGGAAGGCAAAGAGAGUGUGCGCCCCCGCACCGUUCACCUCGCCCUUCUCGAAGAGCAUGAAGUUGGGCUCGAACCCACCACCAGGUCGGACGUACUUGAGGGAAUUCAGAAUCUCUUCGUUCUUGGCGUUCUCCUGAUGCCCAAACUGGUUGCACGGGAAGCCGAGCACCACCAGGCCCCGGGGUCCGAGGCGCCGCUGCAGCUCGUUCAUCUGGGUGUAGUCCCGGACCGUGGAGCCUCAGAGGGACGCCACAUUCUCUAUAAGUAGUACCUUGCACCGCAGGGAGCCCAGGCUCACAGGCUCCCCGCCGGCCAGCGGGCGCGCCGAGAAGGCAUACACCGACUGGGCCGCCGCCGCCGCUGGCCGAGCAGCACACAUGGCGCAAUUGUCCAAGAAGCCAGCGGAGCGCCCCGAACAAGCACUGUCUCCAGUGCAUUCUUUUCACAGGGUCGGAGCCAUGGGAAAACUUCCUCUUUGCCCUCUGAAGGUUCUCUGAAAAUCACU